AGAGAGAGACAUGCGCGCAUAUCAAUAAGCGGAGGAAAAGAAACUAACAAGGAUUCCCCUAGUAACGGCGAGUGAAGCGGGAAGAGCUCAAAUUUGAAAUCUUAAAGGGUUUCCCUUUACGAGUUGUAGUUUAAAGAAGUGUUUUCUGUUGAGGUUUUGGUAAAAGUUCUUUGGAAUAGGACAUCAUAGAGGGUGAGGAUCCCGUAUUUGACCUUUACUUUCAACUUUGUGAUACACUUUCAAAGAGUCGGAUUGUUUGGGAAUGCAGUCCAAAAUGGGUGGUAAAUUUCAUCUAAGCUAAAUAUUGGCGAGAGACCGAUAGCGAACAAGUACCGUGAGGGAAAGAUGAAAAGAACUUUGAAAAGAGAGUUAAACAGUACGUGAAAUUGUCAAAAGGGAAGCGUUUGACACCAGUGUUGUUUUUCUGAAAAUCAAUUAAAGAACUGUUUAUGCUAAGCUGUUUAGACUUUAUCAGCUAUCUGUUUAGUUUUGAGCUUUUCUUUAAUGCACUUUUCAGUUAACAAGUCAACAUCAAUUUCUUUUGCUGUAAAAAAGCUUGAGGAAGGUGGCUUGAGAUUCGUCUUAAGUGUUUAUAGCCUCUUGCCUAUGCAGUCGGAGAGAUUGAGGUCUGCAGCGUAGAUCCUUCGGGGCUAAAUGCAUUUGUGCUAAGUUAUAGCAUUUUAUAGACAACUUGUUGACUAUGAUUUGUCUUGUAGCUUACUCGCUUAUGUUAUUUUACCUACGCUUAGGAUGUUGACGCAUGAGAUAUACGC
rnacentral:rRNA from 1 species